CGGUAAUUCUACAGAGUACUUAUAAACACAUUUUGAUAUCCUAAUUAACGACACCCCCACUAUAUCAAAAUAUCUAGAUUAAUUACAAAUUAAACUACUAAGGCACUAGUCCUAACAUGAGCAGAAAUCUACAAUGCUUAGUCACAUUUAGACUCUUAGUCAGCAGAUCCGCAGGCAUAUCUGCUGUAGUCGAUGGUGCAAUCAUACCUGGAGCUGUCCGUCAACGGUGAAUCUCAGUGUACCGCGUGUGAGGUCGAGCAGCACCCCGACGGUGGCGCCGCGCGCGAUGCCGCCCGCCGCGCGGCCGCCGUGCGCGCCGCCGUGCACGAACCACGACCGCGACGCGUCGAUGUACAUCGCCCAGCCAAGUGCGUCGCUGCCUCAGGAUCAGCAUCACCAUCAUAGUCAUCAAUGCGCAGGCGCCAGUAGUGGCAGCCGCGCGCCAAGGGCUGGUCGGCCAAUGCCACCCGCGGCUGCCAGCCUCCAGCGCGAGCUGUUAAGCCCGCUGCGUCUAACGAUAAUGCACCCUCGCCUAUUGCGCAGCGAGUGUCC